AACCCAUGAUUUGGGCAUUCUCUCACCUUCAUUUUGAACCUCUCUCAUGUCUCACAAAAAGCUUCAUCUGCUCCUUGUCUAAACAUAGAGAUUCCAUACUUUUCUUU
rnacentral:snoRNA from 1 species